rnacentral:lncRNA from 1 species
GACAGUGUCCAGGAAGUCAGGCAAAGGUAACAGAUAGAGAACUGCUGCUGCUGUGGGAAACUGGAUGCUUUCUGGGCUGCCCAACUCUUGCAUGGUCUACAUCGUCUCUAGAGGCUCAUCCACUUCUUUAGGACUAACUUUGUCUGGUCAUAACAGCAGGCUUCCAAAGAAAAGUGGCUGUAAGCACAGAAGUUUAUUUAUUCUUCACUGAACAGCAAGUCUGAGGGCAGAUAAUUUAGGAAAGGUAUUUAACAGUGGCCAUUGGAAGCCCAUGCUAGAAUCUUUCUGUUUGUUUUCCUGCUGUCUGUAGUCCAUGCUCAUGUGGCUGCUAGACCUACAGCUCAUCAUGUGGCUAUGCCAGACAGUAGCAUGGCAGAGGGAGGAAAGAAAAUGCGUUUCAUAAGACUUUAUGCAAGUACUGUGUAAGUGCAAAUACCAUGUAUCUCCCUGGCUAGAUUGUAGCUGCAAGAGAGGCUGGUAGGUAGCUAGCAGGUUUGUUUACUGUUCUAUUUUUAUUAAAUAUUGUUAAGAUUAAUUUUAACACCUGUCAGAAUGGAGGGACCUGGUUGCUGUUGUUGUUGUUGCUUUGAUUUUUGAGACAGGUUCUCACUAUGUAGAUCGGGAGAGCAUCCAAUUCACAGAGAUCCUCCUGCCUCAUGCUGGGAUUAAAGGCAUGUGGCAUCCUA